rnacentral:rRNA from 1 species
GAGUUUGAUCCUGGCUCAGGAUGAACGCUAGCGGCAGGCUUAAUACAUGCAAGUCGAGGGGGAUCAGUUGGGUAGCAAUACCUGGCUGUGAGACCGGCAAACGGGUGAGGAACACGUACGCAACUUUCCCAAAACUGGUGAAUAGCCCUCCGAAAGGAGGAUUAAUACACCGUAACAUAACGAAAUGGCAUCAUUUUGUUAUUAUAGCGGCAAUGCGGUUUUGGAUAGGCGUGCGCCUGAUUAGGUAGUUGGCGGGGUAACGGCCCACCAAGCCUACGAUCAGUAACUGGUGUGAGAGCACGACCAGUCACACGGGCACUGAGACACGGGCCCGACUCCUACGGGAGGCAGCAGUAAGGAAUAUUGGUCAAUGGACGAAAGUCUGAACCAGCCAUGCCGCGUGAAGGAUGAAGGUCCUCUGGAUUGUAAACUUCUUUUAUCUGGGACGAAAAAAGGGAAUUCUUUCUCACUUGACGGUACCAGAAGAAUAAGCACCGGCUAACUCCGUGCCAGCAGCCGCGGUAAUACGGAGGGUGCAAGCGUUAUCCGGAUUCACUGGGUUUAAAGGGUGCGUAGGUGGGCAGUUAAGUCAGUGGUGAAAUCUCCGGGCUUAACCCGGAAACUGCCAUUGAUACUAUCUGUCUUGAAUACUCUGGAGGUAAGCGGAAUAUGUCAUGUAGCGGUGAAAUGCUUAGAUAUGACAUAGAACACCGAUUGCGAAGGCAGCUUACUACGGAGUCAUUGACACUGAGGCACGAAAGCGUGGGGAUCAAACAGGAUUAGAUACCCUGGUAGUCCACG